AACAAUGCUUUAUGUGAUGCGUGACUGUUCGGUGGCUUAUGAUAUUUGGAAGCACCUAGUUCCAUUAAGGGGAAGAUUGGAGCUUUUUACUUGUGAUUAUCAUGAUUGGGUUGUUAGCAAUUUGAAAGCUACUGUCACAGUAGCUGACAGUGUGGAAUGAAAGGUGGUGUGGGCUACUACAUGUGAUUACUUAUGGAGGUGGAGAAAUAGACUCACGUUUGAUGCAAAUUUUGUGAUACCUCUUCACACACAUACCGAGAUUAUGAAGUAUGUG
rnacentral:lncRNA from 1 species